rnacentral:rRNA from 1 species
CAGCAGCCGCCGCGGUAAUACGGAGGGUGCAAGCGUUAUCCGGAUUUAUUGGGUUUAAAGGGUCCGUAGGCGGACUUAUAAGUCAGUGGUGAAAGCCUGUCGCUUAACGAUAGAACUGCCAUUGAUACUGUAAGUCUUGAGUAUAUUUGAGGUAGCUGGAAUAAGUAGUGUAGCGGUGAAAUGCAUAGAUAUUACUUAGAACACCAAUUGCGAAGGCAGGUUACCAAGAUAUAACUGACGCUGAGGGACGAAAGCGUGGGUAGCGAACAGGAUUAGAUACCCCUGUAGUCCCUGUCUCUUAUAC